rnacentral:misc_RNA from 1 species
UACGGAGGGUGCAAGCGUUGUCCGGAUUUAUUGGGUUUAAAGGGUGCGUAGGCUGUUGAUUAAGUCAGUGGUGAAGGUCUGGGGCUCAACCGCAGGAUUGCCAUUGAUACUGAUUGACUUGAAUAUAGUUGAGGUAGGCGGAAUUGACGGUGUAGCGGUGAAAUGCAUAGAUAUCGUCAAGAACACCGAUAGCGAAGGCAGCUUACUAAGCUAAUAUUGACGCUGAGGCACGAAAGUGUGGGGAUCAAACAGG